GGGGUUGUGGCUCAGUGGUGGAGUGCUCGCCUAGCACAUGUGAGGCCCUGGGUUCGAUUCUCAGCACCA
rnacentral:tRNA from 1 species